rnacentral:rRNA from 1 species
UGCAUAUCAAUAAGCGGAGGAAAAGAAACCAACAGGGAUUGCCCCAGUAAUGGCGAAUGAAGCGGCAAGAGCCCAAAUUUGAAAUCGGGCAACCGAGUUGUAAUUUGGAGACGGGACACUAGAGAGGAGGAAGGCGAUUAAGUGCCUUGGAACAGGCUGCCGUAGAGGGUGAGAGCCCCGUGAAUCGCUGGAGACCGAUCAAUUAGUGCCCGCCGAAGAGUCGAGUUGUUUGGGAAUGCAGCUCUAAGUGGGUGGUAUAUUCCAUCUAAGGCUAAAUAUUAGCGAGAGACCGAUAGCAAACAAGUACAGUGAUGGAAAGAUGAAAAGAACUUUGGAAAGAGAGUGAAAUAGUACGUGAAAUUGUUGAAAGGGAAGGGUAUUUGAUCCGACAUGGUGUUUAGCAGCGGCCCGUUCCUCGUGGAUGGGUGCACCUGGUUUACACUGGGCCAGCAUCGGUUCUGGGAGCCAUAUACGGGGUUCGUGAAUGUGGCCCUUCGAUUCUGUCGGAGGGUGUUAUAGCGCGGACAUCUUGUGGCUAGCCGGGACCGGGGACUGCGGUGACUUGUCACCAAGGAUGCUGGCAGAACGAGCAAAUACCACCCGUCUUGAA